rnacentral:rRNA from 1 species
GGCUGAUACCGCCCAAGAGUUCAUAUCGACGGCGGUGUUUGGCACCUCGAUGUCGGCUCAUCACAUCCUGGGGCUGAAGUCGGUCCCAAGGGUAUGGCUGUUCGCCAUUUAAAGUGGUACGCGAGCUGGGUUUAGAACGUCGUGAGACAGUUCGGUCCCUAUCUGCCGUGGGCGUUUGAGAGUUGAGAGGAGCUGCUCCUAGUACGAGAGGACCGGAGUGGACGAACCUCUGGUGUUCCGGUUGUCACGCCAGUGGCACUGCCGGGUAGCUAAGUUCGGAAUCGAUAACCGCUGAAAGCAUCUAAGCGGGAAGCGAGCCUCGAGAUAAGCUCUCACUAGCACAUUAAGUGCUCUGAAGGGUCGUUGCAGACGACGACGUUGAUAGGCGGGGUGUGGAAGCGUUGUAAGGCGUUGAGCUAACCCGUACUAAUUGCCCGUGAGACUUAACCAUACAACACCC